rnacentral:lncRNA from 1 species
GGAGUAUUUAUUCUAAAAGAAGGUUGAUGAUCGGAAGGAAGGAAGUGGUUGGAAUCUUAGAGAGAAGGUGGAGGGUUUUAGAGAGAAGGAGGAGAAAAAAUGAAGUUCUGAAGUUUUGGAGAAGAAGAUCGCAUGCAGGGAAAAUGAUGCCAGAUUUAGAAUUCCAGCUUUUAUACCACUUUCAAAAACCAAACGGUCGAGUCUCAUGCUGCCACAUGGUUCCACUUUCUGAAUUGCUGCACUCCAUGAGCUGCUACUUGGAUUCCACUUCCUGCACAUCUCACCUCCUCUGCUGCCGCACGGUUUCCAAUGGUUGGGAAAUUAAAUGCACGUACA